CGGCGCUCAGCACUGAGCGAGACCCCGACUCGCGUUCCAGCAGCCUCUGUGUGGCCCGGCGCGCGCCAUAGCUAAACAACAGACAGAAGCAAUCGCCGAGCGACCGCGAUCGAUGCUGCGAGAUCGGGCUGCGAGCCCCGCCUGAUCCGCUCCUGAACUUUUCCUGGAGGCAACAGCAAGAACCUGGGUAUCUGGCAGUGAGCACUUGCUGUCUGGGGCCAGUAUCAUCUCACCCCACACAAAAGAAGGUAAUGCAGGCUCCACAGAGGCCCCAAAGCACGGGGCUCUGGAGGGGGCACGGGAGCCCCACACCUUGCCCUGGGCAACCUUGCACGUGGCCUUCACAGUGAGCCAGUGAACAUGGAGCAAGUGCCUACCUUCCCCCCGGCACCAUGAGCUGCUGGCGCAGUCUGAGAAAAACAACAAAUGGAAUAGAAACAAUGACUUCGAUGACUAUGGGCUUAGCAGAAAUCAUGGAAGAAAGAAGUGGAGUGGCAUCUUUAUAAAGAGCCAAGAAAAAAAGUAACCAGAGGCAAGGAAUUCAGGAACCAGCCACAUAAAGACGCUAUCACACGGUGACAGCUGGGAGAAUGCUGGCCGCCCGAUGGCCCGCCGGAAGGAAAGAGCUCCACAGGAGCCAACUUGGAACUGAAGGAGGGAGUGAAACGUAAUUGGUCGCUGUCACCUCCUCAGUGCUGUAAGCAUUCGCGUGGUCACUGAGGACAAAACUGUAGAGGAUCUGGUGCGGUUUCUCAGAGGACGGAGACGUCAUUCACACGGCGGCCCCAGCAUCCAUGGAGAUGGCCGCGAGGCUUCCACACUGGACUUGAGGGGAUAAGCCAGCAAGUUUAAACAGAGCAUGCAUGGUCCGCUGGCAUCCUUAGAGCAACCUCUUAAAAAAGCCCAGCCCAAAGGCAACCGACAGAACAUUCAAAUCAUUCAAAAAGGAUUCCGCUGAACAGAAAAACAGAAAGAAAACAAAACGGUAGAAAUAAAUCUAAUCCUAUUUACAAUCUUUGUAUAUGGCCUAAAUGAGCCAUGAAAACAAGGGAUUGUUACACUGGAGGGGGGAACAAGACCCAACUGUAUCCUUUCUUUAAGAAAUUCACAUUAAAUACAGAGACACAGAUAGGUGAGAAGUAAAGUGUGGAGACCAGUGGCUUGAAGAGCAGCUCUGGGUUUUCCUCCUUGGGGUACCUGCGAGGAGGGACAAGUGAUGUGGGGCUGUCCUUGAGCCAUCAUGCUCCGACCCUACAGGCAAAGGCAGCCGAGGGGCUGGCUCCCCACCCCCACCACCGCUGUCACUUCUGGGAGAGGCUGUCACACUCACCCCCUGCGGAGCCAUGGACAAGGGGUCUCCUUGCUUCCAAGCUUACUCAGCCUUUGCUGAAAUAAGGAGGGGGGGCUUCCUCGGGGUGUGGGCUCGUGGCAAUGGACUCUGUGCUCUGUGCUUCGGCGUGGAGCUCAUCUUUUUCAUCAUGAACCUGAAGUCAUCACCUGUGUGCGUAGGCGGCUUCCCAAACUCUCCAACCAGGAAGUGAGGGUUGGAAGUCCUGAGAGAGGUAUGAGGGGCUCAGUUUCUGGGGCUCUGUUCCUGCCCCUAUCCUCGGAGCUUCACACGUGCAAAACCCAGCCAUGCGCUGGCAACCAGAGGCUGUUGCCUGGAGCAGCAGAAGAGGUUACAGUUCGAACAUCCGUGCCCGAUCUUUUCACAGAUGAAUGAAAACAGAGGUCAGGCCUAUUUAAGCACAACUGUAGACAUUGCGAUUGCAUAUAUAUCAGACACCAUGCAGGCCAGUCUAUGCCGGAAUUAGUUUCAAGGAUUUCACCAACUGUCCAGUCAUGAGCAAACGCUAUUUUAGAAAACGCCCGACUUCAAAGCCGAAUUUGUGAAUGAAGACUAGCUCAUGUUACUUUCAGCCUCAGGGAGUUAGUGGCCUCGGAUAUGGAUAAUGUUAAGUAGAAAUAAUGUCCAUGUUUCAAGGCAAAGGUUAAGUUACAAAGUCGCCUGCAACUUGUCACUUGCAUUUCAAAGUCAGCUUUCCCUGGGAAAGUUCUGUCUUCCCAGAUUUCAACUGGAAACAUUGCUCCCCACGCCCUCGCGUCUGUUUUCCUCUUCCCCCACAGGAACAGAACCCUCAUUUUCAGCCGGGGUAUUGUGGUUGCCUGGAAUGCACCUCCCCUUGAACCUGCAGUGACCUACUGGAGGCUACUUCUGCCCAGUGCAUUGCAGGAGGAAACACGACAGGGCGGCGUCCUCACACCUUCCUUCAAACACCGCCGUGGGCCGUGGGACAGCCACUGCAGGCACAGUGGGUUAAGCUGCUGCUUGGGACGUCUGCAUCCCGUAUCAGUAUGCCUGGCUCGAGUCCCGGCUACUUCAAGCUUCUGUUUCAACUCGCUGCUAGUGUGCCCAGACAGCUCAUGUACUUGGGCCCCUGCCACCCACACGGGUGACUCCUGGCUUCAGCCUGGCACAAUCCUGGCUGUUGUGGGUAUUUGGAAAGUGAACCAGUGGAUAGGAAACCUGUCUCUCCAGGCCGGUGUUGUGGGAUAGUGGGUUAAGCCACCUCUUGCGAUGCUGGCAUGCCAUAGGGGUGCCAGUUCGAGUCCUGGCUAUUCCACUUCCCACCCAGCUCUCUUGCUAAUGUGCCUGGGAAAGCAGUGGAAGAUGACCCAAGCCCUUGGUCUCCUGUACCCAUGUGGGAGACCUGGAAGAAGCUCCUGGCUCUAGUGUUGCAGUCAUUUGGGGAGCGAACCAGGGGAUGGAAGGAAGAUCUGUCUCCCUCUCUGUAACUUUCAAAUAUAUAAUCUUUUUAAAAAAUCACUGGUGGUGCAUUUGCCCCUUCUUCUUGGUCCCCUCUUUAAUCCAUCCUGUUGCUGGGAAAGUGGGUAUAAAAACAGCUGGGGUUACCAUCCUGAUCACGAAGACUGAGGAAGGAUGCCGGGGCAGGCGGCCAGGCUCCCAAGGGCUGCGUGAAUCACAUCAGCACACCAGCCCUAGGUUUUCCACUUCUGAGCGUCAUCAAGUGUAAGCCAUUGUUAUUUUUGGUUUCUGACACGUGACUGAAUUUAAUCCUUAUUUGGGUCCUAACAACUGAAACCAAGAAACUCUCCCAGAUGAGCCCUGGGGGAGCAGGCGUCUGGCACAGCGGAUGGGACACUGCUCGGCACCUGCAGCCCAUCCGAGUGCCUGGGUUAGAGACCAGCUCCACUCCAGACUUCAGCUUCCUCCUCAUGCGCAUCCUGGGAGGCAGCAGGGAUGGCUCUAGUGGUUGGGUCCCUGCCACGCAGGAGGACCCGGAUUGAGUUCCUGGCUCCUGGCUUUCACCUGGCCCAGUCUGGGGUUACUGUGGGCAGUUGCGGAGUGACUCGGAGGAUGGAAGAUUGCUGUAUCUGUCUUUCAAAUAAAUUAAUAAAUUAAAGAACUUUAGAAAUGAGCCCUUUGAAAAAUGAAGUAGGAAGAAGUUUGUUUUGUAUUAAGGAAAUGGCCGCGCCAAGCGCUCAUCUCCAGCAGGGCGCACAAAGGCCCUCUGUCAGUGGUGAGGGACCCUGGCCCACACUUCGCCGAGCAGGCGU